AUUGUCCCUAAAAGCUGCAGAUGUGUCACAUUUGUGUCAUUAGGUGGCAGAGAGAAAAAAGGCCACGUAUACAUACAUUCAGUGUUCUGACCUAUGAAUGUUUGAAUGAUUAAUAGUUUUACAUA